UGCCUAUGAGGACACAAGACCCCUUCC
rnacentral:piRNA from 1 species